rnacentral:rRNA from 1 species
GAUGAACGCUGGCGGCGUGCCUAAUACAUGCAAGUCGAGCGAACGGACGAGAAGCUUGCUUCUCUGAUGUUAGCGGCGGACGGGUGAGUAACACGUGGAUAACCUACCUAUAAGACUGGGAUAACUUCGGGAAACCGGAGCUAAUACCGGAUAAUAUUUUGAACCGCAUGGUUCAAAAGUGAAAGACGGUCUUGCUGUCACUUAUAGAUGGAUCCGCGCUGCAUUAGCUAGUUGGUAAGGUAACGGCUUACCAAGGCAACGAUGCAUAGCCGACCUGAGAGGGUGAUCAGCCACACUGGAACUGAGACACGGUCCAGACUCCUACGGGAGGCAGCAGUAGGGAAUCUUCCGCAAUGGGCGAAAGCCUGACGGAGCAACGCCGCGUGAGUGAUGAAGGUCUUCGGAUCGUAAAACUCUGUUAUUAGGGAAGAACAUAUGUGUAAGUAACUGUGCACAUCUUGACGGUACCUAAUCAGAAAGCCACGGCUAACUACGUGCCAGCAGCCGCGGUAAUACGUAGGUGGCAAGCGUUAUCCGGAAUUAUUGGGCGUAAAGCGCGCGUAGGCGGUUUUUUAAGUCUGAUGUGAAAGCCCACGGCUCAACCGUGGAGGGUCAUUGGAAACUGGAAAACUUGAGUGCAGAAGAGGAAAGUGGAAUUCCAUGUGUAGCGGUGAAAUGCGCAGAGAUAUGGAGGAACACCAGUGGCGAAGGCGACUUUCUGGUCUGUAACUGACGCUGAUGUGCGAAAGCGUGGGGAUCAAACAGGAUUAGAUACCCUGGUAGUCCACGCCGUAAACGAUGAGUGCUAAGUGUUAGGGGGUUUCCGCCCCUUAGUGCUGCAGCUAACGCAUUAAGCACUCCGCCUGGGGAGUACGACCGCAAGGUUGAAACUCAAAGGAAUUGACGGGGACCCGCACAAGCGGUGGAGCAUGUGGUUUAAUUCGAAGCAACGCGAAGAACCUUACCAAAUCUUGACAUCCUUUGACAACUCUAGAGAUAGAGCUUUCCCCUUCGGGGGACAAAGUGACAGGUGGUGCAUGGUUGUCGUCAGCUCGUGUCGUGAGAUGUUGGGUUAAGUCCCGCAACGAGCGCAACCCUUAAGCUUAGUUGCCAUCAUUAAGUUGGGCACUCUAAGUUGACUGCCGGUGACAAACCGGAGGGAGGUGGGGAUGACGUCAAAUCAUCAUGCCCCUUAUGAUUUGGGCUACACACGUGCUACAAUGGACAAUACAAAGGGCAGCGAAACCGUGAGGUCAAGCAAAUCCCAUAAAGUUGUUCUCAGUUCGGAUUGUAGUCUGCAACUCGACUACAUGAAGCUGGAAUCGCUAGUAAUCGUAGAUCAGCAUGCUACGGUGAAUACGUUCCCGGGUCU